rnacentral:rRNA from 1 species
UACGAAGGGGGGCUAGCGUUGCUCGGAAUCACUGGGCGUAAAGGGUGCGUAGGCGGGUCUUUUAAGUCAGGGGUGAAAAUCCUGGAGCUCAACUCCAGAACUGCCUUUGAUACUGAAGAUCUUGAGUUCGGGAGAGGUGAGUGGAACUGCGAGUGUAGAGGUGAAAUUCGUAGAUAUUCGCAAGAACACCAGUGGCGAAGGCGGACUCACUG